rnacentral:miRNA from 1 species
UCUAUUAGGUUAGUGCAAAAGUAAUUGCGGUUUUUGCCAUUACUUUUAAUUACAGCAAAAACCACAAUUACUUUUGCACCAACUUAAUA